rnacentral:lncRNA from 10 species
AGUAAGAUCUGAGAGGAGCUCCAUCAUGGCUGCCACAGAGACUCGGAGAAGUGAGAAGAGCUAGGCAGCUUCCUCUUUAUCCAAAGGAGGCCGAGAAGAAGGAAGUGAUUCCAGAAAGGUAUCACCAUUCCUCAGUUACGAAACCCAAGUGAGACCACAAUAUCCUGACUUCCAGUCUAGAGCUAUCUGUAAUGCAAUAAAUCUCUUCACAGGAGCAUAUACACUGGGAACGGGAACUCUCACAGGAGACACUGCUCCCAAGUUCUUCCUGUCAGUACCCCACUGAGGUGUUGCUGCUGCAUGUCGACUUCCUGCUCCAAUGCCAUCCUUCUUCAAAGCCCAGGACUUCCAUCCUUCCACAGCAGGAUUAAAAACAGGGUACUUCAGACUUCAGGAUACCAUACUCCACAUUAUCCCCAGGGCCCCGGCUUUGUUCUGGCUUACCCCUUGGCCCACUUGCGCAGCCCAGCGUGGGGAGGAAGAGAGAGAAAAAUCCGCAUAUGGGCUGCCAUGUUCACGGGAGCCUUUGCAGAUGGUCUGUCCGUAUGCUACAGUAGAACAAGAGCCGUGCCACUGAGCUCCUAGUGCCAGACAGAGGAAAAGAGGCAAGUUGGGAAAGAGAGAGGAAGAAAGGUAUGAGUGAAGUUUGGCCGUGGAAAGAAAACAGCAUCUGUAGAAAAGCUGUAGACAGUUCCGCUUCCUUAAAGUGGAGAGUUAAACUCACCUUUUGAGAGCAUACUUCGUUUGCAUAGGAGAAUAACCUACAGCGGCCUUUAGACAUAUGAGUUUUACUAGAAAUGUGACUGCACAGUAUGGAGAAAGUCUGGGAAACACUGUUUAUCACAAAUGGCUUGGUUUUUGAAUGGACUUUUUAAGUAUUUUAUUCAAACACAAAUAUUUGGCAUCAAAUAUUUAAACAAAUGAAGUUUUAAAAUGCAAAAAUUAACUUUACAUUUGAUAAUUCCAAGAUCAUCCUCAGUAACAAAAACACCUAAAACUUUCACCACCAGUGAGAUGGAAAAGGAUAUUUUGACACUGGGGGACAAGGGAGGGGAAUAUGAGAUUUUGCACUAGGACCCAUUUUUACUAACUGGCCACAGUGCAUUAUCCCGGCUUCCACAGAUAAGGGGAAUACAUGAAAUAGAAAUUUCUUGGUAAUCAAUAGGAAUUUCAAAUGUGGUUACAGAUCAUCUGUGUACUUCAAAACAAUCCCUAAUGCAAACAGAAGAUGAAAUGUGUCCUAGGCAGAAGUUUAACUGGGGACCAAAAAGGGAAGAAGGACAGGAGGCAGAAAGGGAGAAGAAAGAGGCCAUCUCAGUCUCUUGGAUUACGAAAACACAAACCACAAUUUAAAAGUUGUGGUAGAUUAAACUAAGAAGUAAGAAGGAGACCUGUCAACAGAGACUUAUGGUCACAUAUUGAGGUUUGGAUAUUGGUAGGUAAAGAGACGCCACUGAAAGGAUUUAAGUGGGAAAAUGACAAAUCAGAUUUAUAUUUUUGGUGAAAUACUUGGGUUUCAGUGUGGAAGACAUCUACUCUCAAAUCAUGAGAAACACAUUUGGGUCAUAAAAGUUAUUAUAGUCUAUUUACAGUCUAAUGAACUACAUAAUCAUGUGCACACACACGUGUGUGGGUGUCAAAAAUCUAUUAGGUUAUAUAGCAUUUGGUAGUUUGUUGACAACGAUUAAAAAAAGGAGUCUGUGAUGUAGGCAGGCAUAAUUAUCUCCACUUAACAGAUAAGAAAACUAAGACUUAAAAGAUUAAUGACUUGCCAAAGGUCACAAAAAUAAUAAGGGCUGAAGUCAGGCCUAUGAAACGCCUCUCUUUACUUCUGGUCUUAUAUUUUCCUGUGACUCUGUGUGUUUAAUAGUGCAGCCUUCUAAUAAAUUUACUAUUUUUUUCAAUUUACUGAAUUGGGAAAGGGGUAGGGAAUCACUUUGUUUUAUCACAGGGAAAAACAGAUGGGA